CAUGAGUUUUACAGAGUCUGUACUGCCUCAUGUUGAGGAGUCUGUAGCAGAAAAAGCGCCAAGCCCCACUGCUAAUUCUAUAGUUCUACUCUAUUCUAAGCUGGUCAGACCUUACUUGGAAUACUGUGUUCAGUUCUCGGGAUUUUGAGGAGGACACUGAUAAUUUAGAAUGGGUUCAGAGGAGGACAGCACAAAUGAGAUGUUUGUAUCGGGCGGUACAGAAACAUGAUAAAUAUAUAAAUGAAGAUUUCUGUGUAUACAAGAGAAGCACAGUGGCCAUUCAAAGCAGGCUUGCUGCCAAAUCAACCUGAACUUACCAGAAUUCUUCCUUGGGGCAGAAUAACACCCUGCAGGAACCUGAAAACAGAAGUUUACUCUGGCAGCGGACUGCCAAACUAAGAUUCAAUUAGCUGCAUGACGUUUCCUCCAAAAUAAAAGAUAAUGGCUGAUAUCCUGACUAACGAAGUGCGAGUGCUUUGUGAAAUGCACUGAUCAAGUUCUCGGCUAACACAGCACUAGGCUGUGGGCAUUGGAGUUCAGUGACCUUCUUGCCCUCGAAAGAGCUCUAUGUAAACUGAAAAUAUGUCCCUGAGGUUCACACAGCCCUCAGGGACAUAUUUUCAGGUGACACAAAUGACUUUUAGCCCACUGAAAUUUGCACCCCCUGGAAGAGUAGGGCAAUGCACAUAGUCCCUCUUUUUCCUCACUACAAGCCUGUGCAGGUUAGG